CUCACUCGAUCCUUGGAUCUCUUUCCUCAGUAACUCAUAUCCUCCCUCUAGUGCUCCUCUGAGCCUUCCAGCCUCUGCAGUGAGGUCUGUGACCUCAAUAGUAGACUCCUGUGGCUUGGGAUGGGCCAAAGCAAGGACUUGCCCCUGCAAGUCUAGAACUCUGCCAGUCAAUCUCCAGACUGUAUCUUCAAGUUGCUAGAUUCGGAUGGACUGAUCUGAAAUCAUCUGAAAUACAGUGGAGAUGUGGGGAGUAAUGGUCUGAUCAGAAGAGGUGGCUCCUGGUGCAAAAGAAGUACUACUCCACUAACUAGAUAGCAAGGUAGCCACACGCUGUGAUAUAUGCUCGAUCUGAUCGUCAGCCAGUCUGAAAUCUGAUGGAUGUGCUCUGGUCUCUGGCUGAUACACUGGUGUGGGCAUCCUAGUAAACUCUGAAGGGCCAGCCUCUAUAUCAAGAAUGAACUGGGUAUUUGGUGAUGCUGCCCUGAAGUCAUGUA
rnacentral:lncRNA from 1 species